rnacentral:rRNA from 1 species
AGUGAACGCUGGCGGUAGGCCUAACACAUGCAAGUCGAACGGCAGCACAGUAAGAGCUUGCUCUUACGGGUGGCGAGUGGCGGACGGGUGAGGAAUACAUCGGAAUCUACUUUUUCGUGGGGGAUAACGUAGGGAAACUUACGCUAAUACCGCAUACGACCUACGGGUGAAAGCAUGGGAUCUUCGGACCUUGCGCGAUUGAAUGAGCCGAUGUCGGAUUAGCUAGUUGGCGGGGUAAAGGCCCACCAAGGCGACGAUCCGUAGCUGGUCUGAGAGGAUGAUCAGCCACACUGGAACGGAGACACGGUCCAGACUCCUAAGGGAGGCAGCAGUGGGGAAUAUUGGACAAUGGGCGCAAGCCUGAUCCAGCCAUACCGCGUGGGUGAAGAAGGCCUUCGGGUUGUAAAGACCUUUUGUUGGGAAAGAAAAGCAGCAGGUUAAUACCACGCUGUUCUGACGGUACCCAAAGAAUAAGCACCGGCUAACUUCGUG